CCUAGAAGAAAAGUUGAAGGGAAAAAGGAAAAAGCUUAAUAUUCAAGAUAUACCUAAGGCAAAAAGACAGAUUGCUGUGCUGGGAAGGCUAGCUAAAACUGCAGCUAACUUGGCAAAGAGGCACCUUUUAACGUGGUGAUUCUCUUUAUUUAGUCGGGGGAGAGUAACUGGCCCUAUCCAUCCCCAGCAGAGUACCUCCAGUGACUGUUGCUGGUGUCUAUCUAAAGUUUCUUUUUAGAUUGUGAGCCCUUUGGGGACAGGGAUCCAUCUUAUUUAUUUAUUAUUUCUCUGUGUAAACUGCCCUGAGCGAUUUUUUGGAAGGGCGGUAUAGAAAUCGAAUAAAUAAUAAAAAGUUAUAAAUAAAGGCAUGUUGUCCUGAAAAGGCUUGUCAAAAUUACAUAACUAUAGUGAAUGAUGAAAGACUGAAUAAGAGUUGCCAAACAACUGAUCAGAGUGCCCUGCUAGUAAGCUGAGCAAUGUGCAGGGGCUCCAAGGUUAUAUACAGUCACGCUUUUACUAGGAAGCACUGAAUAGGACAGACAGCUCCUUUUUGCAUUUUCAGGUGUAGCCCCUCAUAAAUGCAGAGGAAAAACAAGCAUAACAGAGUACAGUAAUGUAUCACUGAAAAACAAGCAGUGAACAAGCACUGAUGAUCAAUACAGGGAGGGAUGGGGGGAAUUUCUAAAGUGGAAACUAUCAAGACCAUAGUGAAAAAAGAAGCCAUUAACACAUGCAUGGAAUAUUACAUGGAGGGAAAGGAAGAGGUCAGACAGAAGUACCAAUGAGUUCUGGUUAAGAUAAUUAACUUUGUUGUAUUUUUAAAUAAGAUAUCACACAAUGAGCAAUUUCUACUGUUGAUGAAUGCUUUGUCCUCUAUUUUGCAACCCCUUGAGCACAGACUGGGUUCCUGUGCUUUAAAUACAAGCAUACCAUUGUAAAUAGUUUAGACAGCAACAGCACAGUUCUAAAAGCUUCAUUCUAGAAGCAAUAGCCUAUGCUAAACCAGAACUAUGAAAGAUUAAUGUGUGGGGAGGGGGUGCAUCACAUUGUCAAAUUAGGGCACUAAAUUCUGAGGCACUUGUGGGGCUAAUCAAUGUGUUGAAAGAUUAGACCUCUUGAAAUAAGUUAGUCUGUAUGAUUCUGGUUGCAUCAUUCACCCAAGUUAAUAGUUCAAACAAGGCCCCUGACCUUAACUCUACCCCUGCUUAAGUCAUCACUGCGGUGGAGCUCUGAGCUGUUCCAGGAUUUGCAUUUGCAACACGAGACUGUGAGGCAAAAGGGGGGAAAAACACACAAGAUGAAAAAUACAGGAGACUAAGUGGACAGGAUAUGAAGAAGAGACCAUGACGAUGAUGGCACAUUCUCAUAGAAUGUUGACGACGAUGCUGUUUAGCCUCAUUGUGGAGACACACCUGAACAGACAUGACAAGAGGCACAAGAGACAAGCACCGCCGCCGCUGCGGCCACCCCAAUGAGACUCUACCCCAUGUGCUGUGCUGCUGCCCACCCCACUCAGGUGUUUGGCAGCACCAGCACAACGCAUUGCUGUACCACCUGGCCAAGGCCAUCCCCACCUCCAAAGGCACACUUUCUGCCAGCCGAGCUGUGCCCGGGACAGGCAGCCAGCUGCGGCCUGACAUUGUGGUUGUGGACAGGCUGACGUGGACAGGCAGCCAGUUGCGGCCUGACAUUGUGACACUGUGGUCCACAAUGAGGAGAAGAAGAAAAUCAUCAUGGUUGAUGUCACCCCUUUGAAAACCGGAAAGCAGCCAUGACAGAGGCCAGAGAGCAGAAGCACGAGAAGUGUGCCCCACUCACACAGGCACUCAGGGAGCGAGGCUAUGAGGUCUCCGUCCACGCUGUGCUGGUCGGGGCCCUGGGACCCCGCCAACGAGCCAGUACUGAGAGCCUGCAGUGCGGGCAAGCGCUACGCCACACCAUCCGGUGGUCCCAAGACAUCUACAUAGAACACAUCUCGGGACAUCGCCAGUACCAGGAGCCAGCUCGCCCCCCUAACGUCCCAGGGGGGAGCCGGACCAGCCCGCUCCCCUAACCCAAGAGGGGAGGGGCCACUGAGUGCUCAAAGGAAUGGCUUGCCCUCCUAAACCCAGAGGAGGGGAGCCACCCACGGCUUACCCCGCUACGCCCACAGGGGGCAAGCCAAGCCACCACAUCCCACAGUGGAACGGCUCAUCCUCCUAAAACCCAGAGGAGGGGAGCCACCCAUGGCUUGCCCCGCUAUGCCCACAGGGGGCAAGCCAAGCCACCACAUCCCACGGGGAAACAGCUCGCCCUCCUAAAACCCAGAGGAGGGGAGCCACCAACAGCUUGCCCUGCUACGCCUACGGGGGCAAGCCACCACACACUCCACCCUACCCUGGUAGGGAGGAGCUCCACCAGAGCUGCGGACAAGCCCAGUGAGGUUUCUUUUUCCCCUGCAGGAGGAUGCCAGACCAUCUGGAAACCCCCAGAGGACACCCCGGACGAUGUGCCACCUCCCACCCACAAGUUGAGACCGGGUUCCCCCGCUCUCCUGGCUUGGACUCUACCCUGGACUCUGUCCAGAUUCACAUACACGUGGAACCGAAGGAGGACUUACAUACAUUGGCGAUGCCUUGCAGCUCGCAACUAACUCAGAUGGACACUUAUCUUCUUAUGGCUGUCUUGACCUGCAUGUAUGUAUGUAUGUAACCUCCCGCCUCGGGAAUGUGAUCUAUAGCAUAUCUGCAUGCUAAAUGGACCAUGCCAGCACAGCGGCUGACCACGCCAGGAACUCCUGCUGACAACACCCCUGGAGGACCCCCUGGACCUGGAGAAGACCCUCCGCCGUCAAGGACCCCACGCCCAGAGGCUGCAAUUGGCAGAAGAAGACUGGCAUGGCCCUGCCGGCCACACACAAGGUGAGGUUGGGAUCUGUCCCUCCCUUGGACCUUUUGGAUAUUCCUCUCACUGAACUCUUUUAAUCGGACUCUACCCAAACCCAUAGGAACUUGCGUACAGUGCUAUAUUCUCUCUACCAUUGCAACCACACAUGUAUUAGUACGCGGCCGUGUUUUAUCGGGAAAUUCUGUUCACUGUUCCUUUUGUAAACCAUAUGUUAAAUAUUCUCUAAUAAAAGUCAAUCUGUUCUUAACUCUCA